GAUCAUGGCUCAGGACGAACGCUGGCGGCGCGCCUAACACAUGCAAGUCGAACGGAGAAUGCAGGACUGAAGCCUUCGGGCAGAUGACCUGUAUUCUUAGUGGCGGACGGGUGAGUAACACGUGAGCAACCUGCCUUCAAGAGGGGGAUAGCACCUGGAAACGGGUGGUAAUACCGCAUAAGCGCACGGUACUGCAUGGUACAGUGUGAAAAACUCCGGUGGUAUGAGAUGGACCCGCG
rnacentral:rRNA from 1 species